AUUUAAAUAGUUUAAUAUAAAAUAUUGAUUUGUGGGAUCAAGGAUAAGAAUUUUCUUUUUAAAUU
rnacentral:tRNA from 1 species